CAGCUUCAAAGUCGUCAUGAAAUCUAAACUAAACUGCGAUCUCAGACUGCAACAGGUACUAGCCUAAACCGAUUCGUUCAAAUGUGAGUACUGUCUGUUCCUGUUGGUUGAGAAGUACACGUCAGCAGCCAAGUUGCACGUCAGGUCAACCUACUUGAUGUACUAUCGUUUUCCUCUUCCUGGUUUUAUGUUUGCUGCACAUGGCUCUUUUGUAGUGGUGUCAUUCUAAACACAUGUAAACUGAAAAGCAAGUUGCCUUGACAGAUUUGAGUGUCAGCAAAACACUUGUCGAGCGACCUGCCUGAACUGCAGUAGAAAUAAUGCAUGACGACUGUGUAAAGGCCGCAGUUUAAGAUGAAUCAAGUCUACAUUUCCCCACGACCAGUUUGACGGAGACUAUUAUACCACAUAGACUCGGCGUUUUAGGCUGCAGAAAGCACAAACUGCAGCUCAGC
ensembl:lncRNA